rnacentral:rRNA from 1 species
UACGUAGGGCGCAAGCGUUAUCCGGAAUUAUUGGGCGUAAAGAGCUCGUAGGCGGUUUGUCGCGUCUGCCGUGAAAGUCCGGGGCUCAACUCCGGAUCUGCGGUGGGUACGGGCAGACUAGAGUGCGGUAGGGGAGAUUGGAAUUCCUGGUGUAGCGGUGGAAUGCGCAGAUAUCAGGAGGAACACCGAUGGCGAAGGCAGGUCUCUGGGCCAUUACUGACACUGAGAAGCGAAAGCAUGGGGAGCGAACAGG